rnacentral:rRNA from 1 species
ACCUGGUUGAUCCUGCCAGUAGUCAUAUGCUUGUUUCAAGGACUAAGCCAUGCAAGUCUCAGAAUAAAUGGAUCACAGUGAGUCUGCAGACAGCUCAUUAAAUCAGCUAUAAUCUACGCCGAGAAACUGCCUCAUGGCAGACUAUUGGAUAACUUUGGUAACCCCAAAGCUAAUACAUGUCAGCAAAACCCGCACAGAUUCAACGGGGCCUCUGAGUCCUGAGGCUGUGUCGGGUGCAAUUGACCGAAACAAAAACCAACCCUAGCAAUAGGAGUGGUGAUUGGAUGACUCAGGUCAAUCGAGUAGUAGCGCAUACUUCGGUGGCGCUUGUCGGCACGAGUAUCUGCCCUAUCAGCUUUUGACGGUAGUGUAAUGGACUACCGUGGCUGUAACGGGUAACGGGGAAUUAGGGUUCGAUUCCGGAGAGGGAGCCUGAGAAACGGCUACCACAACUAAGGUUGGCAGCAGGCGCGCAAAUUGCCCAAUAGCAACACAUCGCUGAGGCAGCGAAGAGAAAUAGCAACUUCAUGCGGCCCUGCCGUGUGAAGAUUGCCAUGGACGAUAUCUAAACCUGUCGAUGAGUAUCAAUUGGUGGACAAGUCUGGUGCCAGCACCCGCGGUAAUUCCAGCACCAAUAGCGUAUAUUAAUGCUGCUGCUGUUAAAAAGCUCGUAGUUGGAUCCAGGGUCGGACAGUGCACGGUGGCCCUGUUUGCUUGCUUUGGCUCCGGUCAGGGUGGCGGCAGCGGAACUACCCCGUGCAUCAAACUGUCCGCUCUAACAGGCCGAAGCGGUUCCCUGUGAGUAGACUCCUUAAUUGGGGUUGAAAGCGCCUACGCAUCAACCACAUGCAUACGGGACGUCGGCCAAUGUUACUGUGAACAAACCAGCGUGUCCAAAGCAGGCUUGCCUGAAUGUUCGAGCAUGGAAUAACAAGGGAUCGAUUCUCUCGGUUCUUUUUGUUGGUUUUUAACCCGAGAAGGAGUAAUGCAGGCCACGGUGUCUGAGGUGGUUCCCUAGGCUUCGGUUUAGGCCCCAUCUAGGCCGUGUCCUUACGGGAUCAAUAGGGACUGACGGGGUCGUACCUACUUCCGCGUCAGAGGUGAAAUUCUUAGAUCGCGGGAAGAGGAACUUCUGCGAAAGCAUUCGACAAGAAUGUCUUCAUUAAUCAAGAACGAGAGUGUGGGGAUCGAAGAUGAUCAGAUACCGUCGUAGUCCACACUGUAAACAAUGCCGUCUCAGGAUUGAGAAGUGAACAGAAUGACUUUCACAGCACUAACCCCUGAAACGAGAAAUCAAAGAUUAUGGGUUCAGGGGGGAGUACAUUCGCAAGGCUGAAACUUAA